rnacentral:rRNA from 1 species
GGAGGUCCGAACCCACGAGCGUUGAAAAGCUCGGGGAUGACUUGUGGGUAGCGGUGAAAUUCCAAUCGAGCCCGGAGAUAGCUGGUUCUCCCCGAAAUAGCUUUAGGGCUAGCCUCAAGGUGAGAGAUACGGAGGUAGAGCACUGAAUGUCCUAGGGGGUAUUGCACCUACCGAAGACUAUCAAACUCCGAAUGCCGUCAUCUUAUACUUGGGAGUCAGACUGUGGGUGAUAAGAUUCAUAGUCGAAAGGGCAACAGCCCAGAUCGUCAGCUAAGGUCCCUAAAUGUAAGUUAAGUGGUAAAGGAUGUGGGAUUGCACAGACAACCAGGAUGUUGGCUUAGAAGCAGCCACUCAUUCAAAGAGUGCGUAAUAGCUCACUGGUCGAGUGAUCCUGCGCCGAAGAUUUCCGGGGCUAAAACUUACUACCGAAGCUACGGCAUCAGUAAUGAUGGGUAGGGGAGCUUCCCAUACGGGUUGAAGCAUGACCGUAAGGACAUGUGGACAGUAUGGGAGUGAGAAUGUUGGCAUGAGUAGCGAGAUGUGGGUGAGAAUCCCACAGGCCGUAAACCCAAGGUUUCCAGGGGAAGGUUCGUCCGCCCUGGGUUAGUCGGGACCUAAGCUGAGGCCGAAAGGCGUAGGUGAUGGACAACAGGUUGAUAUUCCUGUACUACCGAUAACCGUUUGAGAGAUGGGAUGACACAGUAGGAUAAGCUAAGCACACUGUGGGUUAUGUGUGCCCAAGCAUUGAGGCAGUCAAAGUAGGCAAAUCCGCUUUGAUAAUGCUGGGAUGUGAUGGGGAGCGAAAUUUAGUAGCGAAGUAGCUGAUUUCACACUGUCAAGAAAAGUCUCUAUCGUGGUUAAAGGUACCCGUACCGAAAACCGACACAGGUGGGUGGGGAGAGUAUCCUAAGGCCA